rnacentral:lncRNA from 1 species
UUUCCUAAGGAUCACUAAGAAGUAAUUCUGACAAUGUUUCUCAUUUUAUAAGAUGUAGGAGGGAAGAUAGGUUCUCUUAUCAAAAAAGUUUCCAGCACAGAUUCAAACACCACCAUGAAGUUCAAAGAAGUCCAUCGGCGUCCCCCGUGUCUUAAGGUCGUCCCAGUAUAUGUGUAUAUGAAGAUGUACAUCUGUGGGAUUUUCCAGCUCAGUUAGGAACACAUUCCUAUCGAGAUUCCAGAACAACCACUGUGUUCUAGCUGUGGAGAAAAACUCUGCCUGUUUGUCUGAGGUCCAUGUGUUUGUGUGUGGACGUGGGUC